UACGUAGGGUGCAAGCGUUGUCCGGAAUUAUUGGGCGUAAAGAGCUCGUAGGCGGUUUGUCGCGUCGAAUGUGAAAACCCGGGGCUCAACCCCGGGCCUGCAUUCGAUACGGGCAGACUAGAGUUCGGUAGGGGAGUCUGGAAUUCCUGGUGUAGCGGUGGAAUGCGUAGAGAUCGGGAAGAACAUCUGUGGCGAAGGCGGCCAGCUGGGCUGUUGCUGACGCUGAUGCGCGACAGCGUGGGAAGCAAACAGG
rnacentral:rRNA from 1 species